rnacentral:lncRNA from 1 species
AGGGUCCCCUGCUUCCUGUCCGCGUUCCCACAGCUGCUGAGGGCCACAGCUCCCGCCUGUGCACAGAGGGUCCUUGCUGUGUGUACGAGAUGGUGGCUCCCUGCGCCAUGUGGCAGAUGUUCAGCAUCAGGAAUCAAAACAGCUUUCACACCACGCAGCACAUUCUUCUUCCAGUCCCGUUCAUUUCCUCUCGGUGGGAUGUGGAACAAUUUCUCUCAUCUGUUGCUCACUCAGUGAAACUGAGAAGUGGACAGAGGAGGCCAGAGACCGCAUGGAGCUUCCUGAGUCUUGACAUUCCAAGAAUACCCUCAACUGGUCCUCUCCUUUUUUCGAAAAACGUGACAAGCCUGUAAGACUAAGGGAAAGAGUAAAGCAGUUUCUGUUCAUUGUACGCUGGACAAAUUCCGAGUGGAUUCUGCAAUACUGAAUUAGCAUAGAGGACUUUCUGGAGGGAGAGAAGUGGACACUGUUCUUGACAGCUAUACUCAAUAUAUACUCACUACUUGGAAAAAACCAGGAAAGCAAAUGCACACUGGCAGCUUCUCACUAUGGACCAAUCAAAUGUUUCCCAUUUGAGUCUCGCAGUACUGUGCUCACAUCUUGGGCACUUGUUCUGAUCCAUGCUCCAGCCAUAAUGUGACUCCUUCACCAGAGGCCCAAACAAACAGGGCUGUCUGAUCUUGCACUUAAGCUUCUGGAGCCAUCAGCAAAAAUCAACCUCUCAUUACUUCAUAAGUGGCAUGCAUCAGAAGAAGACUUAAGUCCCACGGUGAGCCAGUGACUUAUCAGUUCAUACUCGCUGGAGUCAGAGGUCAGAAGAACAUAAGCCAACAACCCCUGGUUAUUCUCUGAAAUCUCCAUGAUGGCACUGGCUCUGCACAGGGCAGAGUUAGGAUACAAACCAGUGUGGUGUAGAUGUAUGGGUAGUGACUCUGGUUUACCUCCAGAUACAUUCUUGGGCACCCUAGUUGUCUUUUAUCAGAAAAGCCACAACUGACUCUAAGGCCAGCAUAAGAACAAAAGACAGAAGAAAACAUGGAGUCAGAAACUUGAAGUUACUGCGGGGAGGAAUAUCAGACAUUGAGGUUUCACUAACUGCCAAGCCAUGGGAUGUAACAUCGAAGAAAAUCUAAAAGUGUGUCAUGCCAGCUUGCCCUUCAACUGGAGCUCUGUGAGGCUGGAGCCACAACUGUAUUUCCGGGUAUAUCCCCACUCCUUGUGCUGGUGUGUGGGCACCUUCCCACCCAUCCCAGAAAGGAAGGCGAGGGGACUGAUGCAAUUCGUGGACUGAUCUUCCUAACAACACAAGUCAGCUUCAUGUUGAGCAUUCCUGGAGAACAAAAGUGUUUUUGCUGCCAAGAUGUCAGGUUCUUUUUAGAGAGCUAAAAAUUAUACACAUCAGAAUUUCUAAAAUAAACGCUGAAUCUGAACCUUCCAGGCAGUGUUCUUGUUUUUCUCCCUGAGCUAUCAAAGAACAAAUUUGUUCCUUCCUUUAUUAAUAAGUUUGUUGGAAAUCUGUUGUGCCAGCCCAUGACUAUUUUCCAGGAAAGCAGAUUAAUGCUAGAUUAUGAAAAUAAAUGAUAACAUAUUUACUGUGAGAACUAAUGAUAUCCUGAGUGCUAAGACAGUACACACUGCUUCUUCCAAGACUGGCAGGUAUGUUUCUGAAGUUGACUUCACUUCAGCGGAAGACACUCUGAGCUUACGUGACUGUGGGCUGCCCAACAUUGCAAAGAUACCAGCCUUGGCAGCAGCGUAUUUAGUACAACUCCAGUUGUGGAAACACUACUGUCACAUUAAAGAAAGGAUUCUUCCUGCCGUGUUGACAAGGAGUAGUGGAAUGGCAAGGCACCAGAAACUGUGGAGACCCAUACUCUUGUCUCAUUUCUGUCUUGCCUGCCUGUAGCCAGGUGGUGCUUUGAAGCCAUCCCAGCUUGUUUAUGAAUAACUCUAUGCUACUGGCCUUUGCUUAAAGUCUGCCUUAAGGACUUUUUCU